rnacentral:lncRNA from 1 species
GUGACAUAUGUUAUUAUUAUCCGUGAAAUCAUCCACGUCAGACUGACUGUCUAUAUCACAACUUUUUUUAAACCAUUCUACCACUUUAUAAUAUCCAUUAUAAGGAGACACUUUGUUAAUAUCCAUUUUUGAAAACUGCCGUUUCUUUGUGUCUGAUGACCAUUCAAAGUCCCACUGAAAGAAGAAGUAAGAUUGUUUUUUUAAGAACAAUAUCAGCUUUUUGACUUCUUUCUAUAAUGUGCAUAUAUUAGGGUUGUUUGAUGUUUCUUAAUGUAUUUUUUCUCCCUAAUAUUAUAAUGUUUUAUGGGUUUUUUUUAUAAUGUGCUGUCUCUUAAACUUG